GACCAAUUAAGAGUCCGCUGCAUUUACGCGCGCUCGUCUCUCAAAAUUUGUGUCUCCUUGCUCAAAAGUAAGUUUUGAAGACAAGAGAAAAGGAAAGGAAAGAUAAUAUUGAAAAGAGGCGAAUCCCAUUCCCAUCCCCCACCCAUCUCUCUCCCCUCGCCGCCGCGAGUUUCGGCGGCACGCAGCACACCACCGACACCCCCUCACUCCGGUCCUUCCUCCUCUCCGGCCAGAUUCGCGGCUACCGCGCGCAACCCCUCCCAAUCCCCGUGGAUAGGGUCGUGGGCAUGUCCCCGGCUCGAGCUGCGUGCCAAGAUCCACGGCACCAUCCUCCUCCAUGAUCCAGGAGAGGCGGCGGCGGAGGAGGAGCCAAGCCAUGGACCCUAGCCCGCGGCCAUCAGGAUCCGCAGGCAGGAGGCGCAGCCAUGGGAGGAGCAGGACGACGCCAUGGAAGGCUCACCAACAACUCCGGUCUUCUCCAAGGACAUGGAGGUCCUCCGCUGCACUCCCUGAUGCAUCAAGCGCGCAGGCAUACAAGGAGGCUCUGCUUCUUCCCAGGUCGCCAUGGAAGAUUAUUCUUCAGGUUGAUACUAACUUGGUAAUGUUGCUGUUCCGAGACCCCGCUGCCGCUGCGGACGCCAUGGAGACCGUCAAGGCGCAGACUGUUGUGUGCCGCCUCUUCCAUGGGCGUCCACGCCAUGGAGCUCCUUAAGACACCCUCAAUGAUGACCAAGGUGGAGUGCAGGACAUCGAGGACAUGAUAUGAACCGUCGUUCCAGACGCCCGCCUCGGGGAAGGAGCACUCCAUCCCGCUGAUAACAAUGUUUUGAAAGAGGAGAUGACGGAUUUGGUGGAGGAGAGGAACUCCCUCAAGGACGAAAAGAGGAGCCCUGUGUACAGAAAACUUGUGAUGCUGCUUUGUCAAGUGCUUGUGUGGUGGUUUCGAUUUGACCUAGAAGACCGCCGCUUCGCUCCUCCGGGUCUUCUUAUUCCCCGGUGGCCGCUGCUCCCACGAUGGAGCAAACGCUUGUCUUGUUUUUCCGUAUUGAGUAAACGCUUGUCUUGUUUUUCUGUAGCAUUCACCAUGCAUGUCUCGUGUGAUCCUUGUGCAGGCCGUAUAGCACUAAUUGGACUGCGGUGGUCUGGUGACACCUUCCCUUGUCCAUGGAGGAUCCUCAAUAGGCAAGAACAAGUGCCACCGCUGAUCCGAAGCUCGUGCCAGGAGAAGGGAUUCUGUCAUUGCCUUCUAUGUGGUUGGCGUAGACCACUGUGUGCCGCCUCUUCCAUAGACGCAACAGCUUCUUCGACCCCGCUGCCGACGCCAUGGAGAUCGUCAAGAUUGCAUUCCUCAGGAAGAUACUCCUUUCGUCCGUCAAACCUACCGGACAUGAUGGAAAAUCUCCAUUGCGAACGACACCGGUCAUUUUCUCUUGCCAAGCGGUGCUGCAGAAGUUGACGCAGUUUGGGCUUGAAGAUGCACAGGAUGGCGCCGUCGUCCUCGUGCUUUCUUCGCUGAUGAAGAUGCACUGGAUGGCGUCGUUGUCCUCUUGCUCUCUCCGCUGAUGAAGAUGCACUGGAUGGUGCAGUCGUCCUCAGGCUUUCUCCGCUGAUAAAGAUGCACUGGAUGGCGGCGUCGUCCUCGAGCUUUCUCCAUUGAUGGGUUAGGUUUCAGAAUUAAGCCAUGUAUGUAGUAGUUUGGCUCUGUCAUGUUGUAAUGUUUGUGAUGGAAGGACGCGAAGUACCUGUGCUUCCUGGGAUGUGUAGUGGACUCGAGAUGGUUUUUAUCACCUCAUCUGAGAAGUAGUUGAUGACAUAGAUAUUUAACUUUGUUUUGGUGAAGAUGUAUUGCACUGCGCUGUGUGCGCGCGCACACAUGCAUGCGUGUUCCUGUUUGAUCAAAUCUGGUGGAAGUAACAU